rnacentral:misc_RNA from 1 species
AACGUAGGAUGCCUCUCCUCCGGGAGGGGGGACCUAUGUCUUCGUAUACGUCUUCGUGUAGAAAGUUCCCCCCAUUGAGAACGAUCAUCGAGUCGCGACUUCUAGCCCCACGCGAUUCUUUGAGAUAAAAGUUAUUACAACUUUCAGCAACGGAUCUCUUGGCUCUCGCAUCGAUGAAGAACGCAGCGAAAAGCGAUAUGUAAUGGGAAUUGCAGAUCUACAGUGAGUUGGGGGGGGGGGGGGAACGCACCUUGAGCGCCGCGGUGUUCCGAGGAUCAUGCCUGUUUGAGUGUCAGUAAAUUCUCAACCACUUUCUAUUUUUCUUCGAAAGGGCGCUAGCCCCCCCCCCUUUUGUUGGGGGGGGGGGGAUACUUUUUAGAUUCCGCCCUCUUCUGAAAAUGCAUCGUGCUUGCGGGACAACUUUUCACUAUGUUGCGACAAGGCUUUUCGUCCUUGAUAUAUGAUCCCCCGUUCGCUUAAAACG